ensembl:lncRNA
AGAAAAUAGCUUACCUCUGUAUCACUCCCUCAAAAGGAACAGCUACCCCAGGGUAAAACUAUUGGAUCAAAUCUUAAAGGAAAGAACACAGCCAUAACCGUGUAAGUUUCAGCUGGAUAUUUCCCAAAAAAGUCAGUACCAUGAUAAACUUGAAAUCAUCUAAAAUCCUGCAACCUUGAUUUCUCCAGAGGUGAUCUUUAGUGUUUUACAAGAGGUGAACAUCCACAUCCUAUCUCAGAAGGACACUCUAAACAGGUAUCUCAUUGUUAAUUUCAGGCAGUUAAAAAAAAAAAAAAAAAAAAGUAACCAAAAACCCCAUGACUUAAAUACCCAUUAGAAAACUGCUAGGUACGGUAUCUUGUCAACCAGUUUUCUCCUCAGAGGACUGAAAUGUGCCUUAGGAAUACCUAAAGGUACAGAACACCUCUAAGGAAACUUAGCAAAGCCUCAAAAACUUCAGUUUCCUUUAAGUCUGUAAUACAUAUUUCAGUUGGAGUCUGUAAACCCUAUUUUAAACUUGCCUUCAGAUUCACAAAAAGCCCUGAAACCAAUCACUUUCCUGUCUACAUUCUGCAAUCAGGUUUCUGUUGCUUUAUAUGAUGGCUCACAUUAACAGAAACGGUUCACAUUUUAGAAUAUUACGGGACCAAUUUGUAAAUUGGAUUAGAAUGAAGAGGUAUGACACCUUUAGUAGAUUUAGAAAACAUAAAGAGAGCAUUGUAAUGCUUAUAGGUAAACUGUGUGUUUACACAGAACUUCUCUGACCUUCCAUAGAAGCACCUGAAACAAAGUGAUAAUCAGGAGCCAAAGAAAUAUGAUUAUUUUUAUUUUUUUUUAGCACAAAAGUGUAAAUUGAUAAUUAAAUCUGUCAACAUAGUGUAGCUUUUCUCAGAAGUAUUUAACCAAUAGUAUUCAUUAGGAAGGUCUGCCCAUAUUAAUGAUGGAAGAGAUCUCACGGAAGACGAGCUAAUAAAAAAUCCCAUAGUUAAGAACUUAUUCUACAAUUCACAUAUGUGAAGUGAAAUUGAUUGGCUUGACUACAACUCUUCGAAAACCUCACUCAUACAAGUCCCAGCAAAACUGCAGCUAAAUUCACUCAACUGCUUUAUUACAUGCACCAGAGAAAGAUGACAGCCUUCUCAAUGGUCUCAAUCUGCCACGUACUUAACUGCUCCUUUAUGAAAAAGUUUGCCUGAUGACUAAGAGAAGGUGGUCAUCUUUGUUAACAUUGAAAACUUAUCACCCCUUUGCUAAUAAGUAAAUGAAGGCAAGCUUUCUCAUGCAUAAAGAGUUUCUGUCAAUGGGGAUCUCUUAACAGAGUUGCAGGCUCCCCAAGGUUCACCAAAAGCUAUGCAGCAAACUGAAAUCAGCCUCUUGUCAAAUUGCACAGCUUGGCACAGCUGUGUGAAAAUUUUUACUACAGAAGAAAACAGCACAGAAAGAUAAAGAAGAAAGGAAGGAUGGAUGCUCCUGCAACCUGAAGACUGGACCAAGAGGCAGCAGAUCUGGAGUGAGCUUUCAUAUUUGCCACAGAGCUCUUAUGUAAGUUUGGAAUGGUCUCUUAGAUGCUGAGCCAGUAAUAUUAACUCAGCACAUCCCACUGACUUCAGUUUCUGGCAAGACUUGAAUCACACAUGACAUCCUAAACUACCAAAUUUUUUCCUGUUACUCUAGCCACGCUACAUAGAAUAAAGCUUUCUUUUACCUAAGAUAA